AUUGAAACACUGGUUCCCAUCCAUCACUGAAUUUAAGCAAUGUCAAGCCUGGUCAGUACCUAGAUGGGUGAUCGUUUGGGAAUACCAGGUGCUGUAA